rnacentral:rRNA from 1 species
AGGUAAUAGAUACCCCGGUAGUCCACGCCGUAAACGAUGAAUACUAGGUGUAGGGGUUGUCAUGACCUCUGUGCCGCCGCUAAACGCAUUAAGUAUUCCGCCUGGGGAGUACGGUCGCAAGAUUAAAACUCAAAGGAAUUGACGGGGGCCCGCACAAGCAGCGGAGCAUGUGGUUUAAAAAUCGAAGCAACGCGAAGAACCUUACCUAGACUUGACAUCUCCUGAAUUACUCUGUAAUGGAGGAAGCCACUUCGGUGGCAGGAAGACAGGUGGUGCAUGGUUGUCGUCAGCUCGUGUCGUGAGAUGUUGGGUUAAGUCCCGCAACGAGCGCAACCCUUAUUGUUAGUUGCUACCAUUUAGUUGAGCACUCUAGCGAGACUGCCCGGGUUAACCGGGAGGAAGGUGGGGAUGACGUCAAAUCAUCAUGCCCCUUAUGUCUAGGGCUACACACGUGCUACAAUGGUCGGUACAAUGAGAUGCAACCUCGCGAGAGUGAGCAAAACUAUAAAACCGAUCUCAGUUCGGAUUGUAGGCUGAAAC